rnacentral:rRNA from 2 species
AAAUUGAAGAGUUUGAUCAUGGCUCAGAUUGAACGCUGGCGGCAGGCCUAACACAUGCAAGUCGAACGGUAACAGGAAGCAGCUUGCUGCUUUGCUGACGAGUGGCGGACGGGUGAGUAAUGUCUGGGAAACUGCCUGAUGGAGGGGGAUAACUACUGGAAACGGUGGCUAAUACCGCAUAACGUCGCAAGACCAAAGAGGGGGACCUUCGGGCCUCUUGCCAUCAGAUGUGCCCAGAUGGGAUUAGCUUGUUGGUGAGGUAACGGCUCACCAAGGCGACGAUCCCUAGCUGGUCUGAGAGGAUGACCAGCCACACUGGAACUGAGACACGGUCCAGACUCCUACGGGAGGCAGCAGUGGGGAAUAUUGCACAAUGGGCGCAAGCCUGAUGCAGCCAUGCCGCGUGUAUGAAGAAGGCCUUCGGGUUGUAAAGUACUUUCAGCGGGGAGGAAGGUGUUGUGGUUAAUAACCGCAGCAAUUGACGUUACCCGCAGAAGAAGCACCGGCUAACUCCGUGCCAGCAGCCGCGGUAAUACGGAGGGUGCAAGCGUUAAUCGGAAUUACUGGGCGUAAAGCGCACGCAGGCGGUCUGUCAAGUCGGAUGUGAAAUCCCCGGGCUCAACCUGGGAACUGCAUUCGAAACUGGCAGGCUUGAGUCUUGUAGAGGGGGGUAGAAUUCCAGGUGUAGCGGUGAAAUGCGUAGAGAUCUGGAGGAAUACCGGUGGCGAAGGCGGCCCCCUGGACAAAGACUGACGCUCAGGUGCGAAAGCGUGGGGAGCAAACAGGAUUAGAUACCCUGGUAGUCCACGCCGUAAACGAUGUCUACUUGGAGGUUGUGCCCUUGAGGCGUGGCUUCCGGAGCUAACGCGUUAAGUAGACCGCCUGGGGAGUACGGCCGCAAGGUUAAAACUCAAAUGAAUUGACGGGGGCCCGCACAAGCGGUGGAGCAUGUGGUUUAAUUCGAUGCAACGCGAAGAACCUUACCUGGUCUUGACAUCCACAGAACAUUCCAGAGAUGGAUUGGUGCCUUCGGGAACUGUGAGACAGGUGCUGCAUGGCUGUCGUCAGCUCGUGUUGUGAAAUGUUGGGUUAAGUCCCGCAACGAGCGCAACCCUUAUCCUUUGUUGCCAGCGGUCCGG